rnacentral:lncRNA from 1 species
GUGGAGGGACAUAUACCAGACAAGGUGGAUGUGUUGUGGUUCAACCUUCCGGUUCCUCUCAGAGCAGCUAUUCUAGUGGUCAGAGUGGAACAGUCUACACAAUAAGCAAGAGUGGAUGUGUCCCAGGAGGUGCUGCCAAUGCAUAUAGCCAGAAUGCGUGUAAAGAUAGUGCAUCCUCAUAUGGCAGUCUUACCUAUGGCCAGUCUGUUCCUGCAAGUAGUUCAGAUUCCAGUAAGAAGAUAGUGGUCGUUCCCAACAGCAACCCGUUUCCGCCUGUGGUAAGCAGUUUCUCUGUACCUCUCUCAAAGUUUUGACUCAAAGAGCAUUUAUGUAGCUUCAUGUUUUAAUUUGUCAGAAGGAUUUCUCAUGCAUAUGGAGACAAAUCUUUGUCACAUAGGUUUUAUCUUAGGAUC